UUUCUUUCUUUCUCUCUCUCAGAAGUUUUUCCAAAAGUCCGGAGAACAAGACCAUUGAGGAGGCCGGUGCAGCGUGCUGAAGAUGAAGGGGCGGCCCCCAGUAACAUGACCAAUGCCCUGACCUGCUGCGUGUGCAUGGAACUCUAUACGGAUCCGGUGUCUCUGCCGUGUGGCCAUAGCUACUGUAUGGGUUGUAUCACCAGGACGUGGCAGAACCAGCAUCCACGCGUGGCCUCCUGUCCUCUGUGCGCAAGGACCUACCCCAACAGGCCGAAGCUGAACAAGAACUGGGGCCUGUGUCAGUUAGUGGAGGUCUAUAGAGCUCAGCCCGGCCAACACUCCUAAUACAUGAGGUCCGGGGGGGUCUAUAGGUGAACAGAUCCCCCUGCGGGCCCCAAUAGACAUCAGAUACAGUAAAGACCAUCUCCGGGGGGAACAACAAUACUCACUUGCGGUGGAGUUGCCCUCACACUUCAGGCUUGAAGAGCUUCUACUGACUAUAUGGCUUUUACCUUCAUGCAUUCUAAUACUUGGUGCUCCACUUGAGUCUCCUUAGAUUUUAUCAGAUGUUAUAAAUGUGUUGAAAAGAAAAAGUGAGAGAAAUGUGCGAUGUUUUAGUGUUUUCUUUAUUCAUUAUUCUCUGUGAUUUUGGAUUUCAGUAAACAAACACUAUAUUAUCAAAA